rnacentral:rRNA from 1 species
GACGAACGCUGGCGGCGUGCUUAACACAUGCAAGUCGAACGGAAAGGCCCUGCUUUUGUGGGGUGCUCGAGUGGCGAACGGGUGAGUAACACGUGAGUAACCUGCCCUUGACUUUGGGAUAACUUCAGGAAACUGGGGCUAAUACCGGAUAGGAGCUCCUGCUGCAUGGUGGGGGUUGGAAAGUUUCGGCGGUCGGGGAUGGACUCGCGGCUUAUCAGCUUGUUGGUGGGGUAGUGGCUUACCAAGGCUUUGACGGGUAGCCGGCCUGAGAGGGUGACCGGCAACAUUGGUACUGAGAUACGGCCCAGACGCCUACGGGAGACAGCGGUGGGGAAUAUUGCACAAUGGGCGGAAGCCAGAUGAAGCAACGCCGCGUGCGGGAUGACGGCCUUCGGUUUGUGAGCCGCUUUAGCCUGUGACGAAGCGUGAAUGACGGUAAUGGGUAAAGAAGCACCGGCUAACUACGUG